rnacentral:rRNA from 1 species
GACGAACGCUGGCGGCAUGCCUAAUACAUGCAAGUCGAACGCAGUGGGGACGGUUGAGUAACCCGUGGGUAACCUCCCAUCAGAGGGGAUAACACUUGGAAACAGGUGCUAAACCGAUACUGAUGGAUGGACCCGCGGUGCAUUAGCUAGUUGGUGAGGUAACGGCUCACCAAGGCCACGAUGAAUAGCCGAGCGGAGAGGGUGAUCGGCCACACGGGGACUGAGACACGGCCCAGACUCCUACGGGAGGCAGCAGUAGGGAAUAGUGGGCAAUGGACGAAAGUCUGACCGAGCAAUGCCGCGUGAGUGAAGAAGGUCUUCGGAUAGUAAAGCACUGUUGUUAGAGAAGCGGUAUCUAACCAGAAAGCCACGGCUAACUACGUGCCAGCAGCCGCGGUAAUAC